UGCUAUAUAGCACAUGUGUUUAAACAAUAGU
rnacentral:piRNA from 1 species